GGUGGGGUAACGGCUCACCUAGGCGACGAUCCCUAGCUGGUCUGAGAGGAUGACCAGCCACACUGGAACUGAGACACGGUCCAGACUCCUACGGGAGGCAGCAGUGGGGAAUAUUGCACAAUGGGCGCAAGCCUGAUGCAGCCAUGCCGCGUGUAUGAAGAAGGCCUUCGGGUUGUAAAGUACUUUCAGCGGGGAGGAAGGGAGUAAAGUUAAUACCUUUGCUCAUUGACGUUACCCGCAGAAGAAGCACCGGCUAACUCCGUGCCAGCAGCCGCGGUAAUACGGAGGGUGCAAGCGUUAAUCGGAAUUACUGGGCGUAAAGCGCACGCAGGCGGUUUGUUAAGUCAGAUGUGAAAUCCCCGGGCUCAACCUGGGAACUGCAUCUGAUACUGGCAAGCUUGAGUCUCGUAGAGGGGGGUAGAAUUCCAGGUGUAGCGGUGAAAUGCGUAGAGAUCUGGAGGAAUACCGGUGGCGAAGGCGGCCCCCUGGACGAAGACUACGUCAG
rnacentral:rRNA from 1 species